UACAGAGGGGGCAAGCGUUGUUCGGAAUUACUGGGCGUAAAGGGCGCGUAGGCGGCCUUCUAAGUCGAACGUGAAAUCCCCGGGCUCAACCCGGGAACUGCGUCCGAUACUGGCAGGCUUGAAUCCGGGAGAGGGAUGCGGAAUUCCAGGUGUAGCGGUGAAAUGCGUAGAUAUCUGGAGGAACACCGGUGGCGAAGGCGGCAUCCUGGACCAACACUGACGCUGAGGAGCGAAAGCCAGGGGAGCAAACGGG
rnacentral:rRNA from 1 species